AACGUAGGAGACAAACGUUAUCCGGAGUUACUGGGCGUAAAGGGCGUGCAGGCGGCUUGUUAAGUUUGGCGUGAAAGCUCCUGGCUAAACCGGGAGAGGUCGUCGGAGACUGGCAGGCUCGAGGGUGAUAGAGGCGGGUGGAAUUCCGGGUGUAGUGGUGAAAUGCGUAGAGAUCCGGAGGAACACCAGUGGCGAAGGCGACCCGCUGGGUCACACCUGACGCUGAGACGCGACAGCAUGGGGAGCGAACGGGG
rnacentral:rRNA from 1 species